ACUCUACCCAGGGCAACAGAGCAAGAUUCUGUCUCAAAAAAAAAUUAGCUCAAGUCAAGAAAAAUGCAGAUUCUUAGGUCCACUUUCAAUCUAAUGACUCAAACUCCCUGGGGGCAGAUUUUUCUGUCCUUUAAACAAGUUCUCUAGGUGAUUCUUAAGCCCAAGCUAAGUUGAGAAACUCUGGAAGUAGGGUCUCAGUGACAAAGCACUGACAAGAAGGAGGCACCAUGUUUGUCAGAAGUGACUGGCUUAGCUCCACACUUUCUGGAUCAGCCCUGCCUCCCGAAAACCCUCCACUCAGGAGAGCCAUGGUAGCUGCAGGACCGUAGGGCAGGCUGGGAAUGACUCAUCUGCACUUAUUUAUCCACAGUCACGGCCCGAUGGGAAAGGGCUGGCCCCCACAGAGUCCCUUGGCAUAUGGAUAUGGGUGUGAGGAGAGGCUGGUGCCUCCAGAGCUGGCACUGAGGAGGCCGAGGCCUCACCCUUACUUCAGUCACUCCACACACCCCGUAGUCACAACCCCUUGUUCUACAGAGGAAGGGAAAAAAAACAAAAAAGGGAUUUUUCCAGUGUCACAUGGCCACUGAAGAGCAGGGCUGAAGCUCCAGCCCCAGCCAUGCUUUUGCCAUCACAGCCCAGCUAGUGAAUCUUAGCCCCAUCCCUCAAAUGCCAGGGACGUUUUCUACUUUACAACUGUUCCCAGCAUACUACAUGCAGGGAAGAACUAAAGUCCUUGAAUUCAAGUAGUCCAGAUGGGAAAAUCCAGUUUUUAGGGUGAAGUCUUUUCCAGGUGAUCUCCCUUUCUAAGUCUUCAUUGCCGUGAGCCACUCACAGGAGGAUUCCUACGAGAAGCAGCCCUCUCAGUGCAUCUAACACAGGACUUUGGAGCUCAGAAUUCAGUUCACACUCCCUUUCUCGAGCAGCCACCCGUGGGACAGACUCUGGCCCCUGGACGUGUUCCAUCCCACAAGACGGCACAUAAGCUAGGAAGUAAUUCAGUUCACAAGGUCAAAGAUCUCCUGGCCGCAUCCUGCUCCUGUGUCGACUCAGCCUUGUUCCCCUGAUAGGGCCGUAAGCACAGCAUCAGACCUCCGGCCUCUGCUGUGUGACCUUGGAUUUCUGCAUCUCUGUCCUUUGCCUUAAGUCUUAAAAAGCCUUGAAAGGCUCACAGAUCAACAGGAGCAUGCAGUACCAUGCUGGAAUGCUGGGAGUUAGGAGGUCCCUGCCUGUUAAUGCAAAGACUGGUUCCUGCUGACGCAGCACUCCAGGCCAAGCAACAGAUGGUCUUCUAGGCACAAGUCUGAGUAAACUCAGGUACCACAAUCCCCUGCCAGGAUCCCAGCGGAGAGGCAGGGCAGAGCCUGGAUUCUGUCAAGUUGUUGAGGGUGCUAACGGCUCUUUCUGUGCUAUUAGAUGUAGGCACAGAAUCCCAUCGUUGAGGUAACCAACUGCCCGCCCUGGUCUAAUUGAAAGCUCUGCUUCCUGGAAAACCCCAAAACUUGAGGCAAACUGGGUCAAAGGGUCACCUUAUAUCGAGCUGUGUCCAACCAUGGCCAUACAUAAACAAAAUGCCCUGGUCUGAAAUGUGAUAGAGGUGGUAACAGCAAAGAACAAGUCCUUAAUCCUGGUUCACAUACUCUACAAGGAUAUGACUAAGUCUAGUUCUGCAAGCAGGUCAGUCUUAUAACACAUUAAUUCUAACUGGACGAUCUAUUUCACAACUAAGACAACUUUAUAAACUGUGCUAUAAUUUACAAAGGUCAUUUUUUAAUCCCAUUCUUUUGACUAUCCUGAAGAUGUUUUAUGAGAUACUCAUAAAUAUUACCAUUGAGGCAUAUAUAUGGCAAUGGUGGACUUAAUUCUGCAUAAGACUUAAAGUACUUCACUUUUAAAACCUUACAAAAAGAUUCCCAAGAGUCUAAGUAGUAAAAUAAGCCACAAGUGCAUUAGCAGCAUUGUAGACAUAAAAAACUUUAAUAUCCCACUCACAAGCCUGCUGAGGAUACAAACUAGUCACCCCUCGGUGACCAUGGGGCAUUGGUUCCAGGA